UUUUAAGAGGAAUGUAAGUCGCUCUGGAUAAGAGUGUCUGCUAAAUAACUAACA
rfam:Salmo salar isolate Sally breed double haploid chromosome ssa29, whole genome shotgun sequence.